UGGGCCACGGCAUUAUAGGAAAAUUCUUCAUC
rnacentral:piRNA from 1 species